AAAUGCUGCUCAUGAAAUUGGAUUGGCUGGUCCAUGUCACGUGGCAGACUCCAAAAUGGCAGUCUCCAUGCUUGCCUCAAGGGCCUGGGAGCACAACCCUGCCCCCUGCAGUUGCAUGGAAGUGGCAGGGAGUGGCAAGGUAGAAAGAAAAGCUACUCAGGUUGUCGUCCUACAUUGCUUCCACAGAAUCACUUCUGCCCAGGUUUUCUUCCUACUUUGCUUCCACAUAACCAAAAAUUUGGAGCACACACAGCACCCAAACUCAGCUCAUUAAAGUAACUACCUGGGAGGAGAGGAAGGCUCCAAAUCCUCAGCUCUGAAUUCAAGGUACUGCUUUGAAUCUGAUCCAGUCAAAUCAGCCUGUCCUCCAGCACCAAUUUGAAUUGUGGCCUUCCUUGAAGCACUAAGAAUGGUGACCCCUGCUUCCCUACGAAGGAUGGCAUUUGCUGUAACCCUGGUGGGAUUGAUACCUGCUUGGAACCUGAUAAGUGCAUUUGUGCAGCUAAACUAUUGAUUCUGCUUGGUUAGCAAAUGGUGGGAAAAUGCAAGGAAGAGGCCCAAUUUGCUGAAAGUCACGCUGAAUAAAGAUUCUAAGGGCCAAACUCUUCACUGAGAAAGGACACCUACGAUGGCACUAUCUACAGAUCUAUCUAAAUAUGCCCUUCCCUGGAAUAAGACUUCCUCCAAUGCAUGGGGUCUUCCCUUGGAGGAUGUUCCUUCUGCCAGAAGAAAGGAAUGUUUGAAUGAAUACAGUGUAGCUCGACUACUCAGUGGUAUAGACAAGUCACAGCAUCUAAAUAUCCUUUCCAAGGCCUUCAUCGCAACCCUACCAAGUACUGGUCUGAGGUAUAUUUCUUGACUGCUGGAACCUUUACUGUUGAUGGUCAAUCCUAAAAGGCAGAAGCUAUCCACCACUUCAAUGUCUCCAUUGUCAAUUCUGGUUGCUGUACCUGUUGUCAUUAGUUUAGACUUCUUUACAUUCAAUUGUAGUCCCAUUUAUCACUGUGCUCCUUGAUUUUCAUUACUAGAGCUUUUAGAUCAUCCGCAUUCUCAGCUAUCAGAGUGGUGUCAUCAGCGUAACGCAGGCUAUUGAGGUUUCUUCCUCCAGCUAUAAAACCACGC